UAGGGAAUCUUCCACAAUGGACGCAAGUCUGAUGGAGCAACGCCGCGUGAGUGAAGAAGGUUUUCGGACCGUAAAGCUCUGUUGUUGGUGAAGAAGGAUAGAGGUAGUAACUGGCCUUUAUUUGACGGUAAUCAACCAGAAAGUCACGGCUAACUACGUGCCAGCAGCCGCGGUAAUACGUAGGUGGCAAGCGUUGUCCGGAUUUAUUGGGCGUAAAGCGAGCGCAGGCGGAAGAAUAAGUCUGAUGUGAAAGCCCUCGGCUUAACCGAGGAAUUGCAUCGGAAACUGUUUUCUUGAGUGCAGAAGAGGAGAGUAGAACUCCAUGUGUAGCGGUGGAAUGCGUAGAUAUAUGGAAGAAUACCAGUGGCGAAGGCGGCUCUCUGGUCUGCAACUGACGCUGAGGCUCGAAAGCAUGGGUAGCGAACAGGAUUAGAUACCCUUGGUAGUCCAUGCCGUAAACGAUGAGUGCUAAGUGUUGGGAGGCUUCCGCCUCUCAGUGCUGCAGCUAACGCAUUAAGCACUCCGCCUGGGGAGUACGACCGCAAGGUUGAA
rnacentral:rRNA from 1 species